rnacentral:misc_RNA from 1 species
GAUGAAGAACGUAGCGAAAUGCGAUACUUGGUGUGAAUUGCAGAAUCCCGUGAACCAUCGAGUCUUUGAACGCAAGUUGCGCCCGAAGCCAUUAGGCCGAGGGCACGCCUGCCUGGGCGUCACACGUCGUUGCCCCCCACCAUCUACUCCUUCGGGAUUGCGGGGGGCGGAUGAUGGCCUCCCGUGCGCCUAGCCGCGCGGUUGGCAUAAAUACCAAGUCCUCGGCGACGCACGCCACGACAAUCGGUGGUUGCGAAACCUCGGUUGCCCGUCGUGUGCGUUCGUCGCGCAUCGAGGGCUCGAAAAAAUGCUCGGCUCCGGCUCGGCUUUCACCGCGACCCCAGGUCAGGCGGGGUUACCCGCUGAAUUUAAGCAUAUCAAUAAGCGGAGGA